rnacentral:sRNA from 1 species
ACUCAACGCCAACAAAUUAAAAUGGACGAAACUUUGCUACUAUAGCACGCUACCUCGAGUAGAUCCUUGAACAGCAAGAUAGUUCAAAACUUGUUUUUAAGAGUUU